UACAGAGGUCUCAAGCGUUGUUCAGAUUCAUUGGGCGUAAAGGGUGCGUAGGUGGCGCUGUAAGUCGGGUGUGAAAUUUCGGAGCUUAACUCCGAAACUGCAUUCGAUACUGCGGUGCUUGAGGACUGGAGAGGAGACUGGAAUUCAUGGUGUAGCAGUGAAAUGCGUAGAGAUCAUGAGGAAGACCAGUGGCGAAGGCGGGUCUCUGGACAGUUCCUGACACUGAGGCACAAAGGCCAGGGGAGCAAACGGG
rnacentral:rRNA from 1 species